UACGUAGGGUCCAAGCGUUGUUCGGAAUUACUGGGCGUAAAGCGCGCGUAGGCGGGUUUGUAUGUCGAUUGUGAAAUCCCCGGGCUCAACCUGGGAACUGCAGUCGAAACUGCAAAUCUUGAAUGUCUGAGAGGAUGGCGGAAUUCCCGGUGUAGUAGUGAAAUACGUAGAUAUCGGGAAGAACACCUGAGGCGAAGGCGGCUCUCUGGGACGGUACUGACGCUGAGACGCGAAAGCGUGGGGAGCGAACAGG
rnacentral:rRNA from 1 species